rnacentral:tRNA from 1 species
GGCAUUGUAGCUCAGUGGUAGAGCACUUGACUAGCAUGCAGGAGGCCCUAGGUUCCAUCCCCACUACCA